GACGAAGGUGACGAGCGUUGUUCGGAAUCACUGGGCAUAAAGCGCACGUAGGCGGCGACGUAAGUUGGGUGUGAAAUCCCUCGGCCCAACCGAGGAACUGCGCCCAGUACUGCGUUGCUUGAGGAUCCAAGGGGUGCAUGGAAUUCCCGGUGGAGCGGUGAAAUGCGUUGAUAUCGGGAGGAACUCCGGCGGCGAAAGCGGUGCACUGGUGGAUUUCUGACGCUGAGGUGCGAAAGCCGGGGAGCAAACGGG
rnacentral:rRNA from 1 species